rnacentral:rRNA from 1 species
GAUGAACGCUAGCGGCAGGCUUAACACAUGCAAGUCGAGGGGCAGCACAGGUAGCAAUACUGGGUGGCGACCGGCAAACGGGUGCGGAACACGUACACAAUCUACCUUUAUCUGGGGGAUAGCCCGAAGAAAUUCGGAUUAACACCCCAUAAAAUAACAGAGUGGCAUCACUUAAUUAUUAAAACUCCGGUGGAUAGAGAUGAGUGUGCGUCCCAUUAGCUAGUUGGUAGGGUAACGGCCUACCAAGGCGACGAUGGGUAGCUGGUGUGAGAGCACGACCAGCCACACGGGCACUGAGACACGGGCCCGACUCCUACGGGAGGCAGCAGUGAGGAAUAUUGGUCAAUGGACGCAAGUCUGAACCAGCCAUGCCGCGUGAAGGAUGAAGGCCUUCUGGGUUGUAAACUUCUUUUAUUGGGGAAGAAAAUUAUGGUUUCUACUAUAACCGACGGUACCCAAGGAAUCAGCACCGGCUAACUCCGUGCCAGCCGCCGCCGUAAUAC